rnacentral:rRNA from 1 species
UACGUAGGGGGCAAGCGUUGUCCGGAAUUAUUGGGCGUAAAGAGCGCGUAGGCGGUCCGAUAAGUCGGCUGUGAAAGUCCAGGGCUCAACCCUGGAAAGCCGGCCGAUACUGUCGGACUAGAGUUCGGAAGAGGCGAGUGGAAUUCCCGGUGUAGCGGUGAAAUGCGCAGAUAUCGGGAGGAACACCAAUUGCGAAGGCAGCUCGCUGGGACGAUACUGACGCUGAGGCGCGAAAGCGUGGGGAGCCAAACAGGG